UGGGGAAUAUUGGACAAUGGGGGCAACCCUGAUCCAGCAAUGCCGCGUGUGUGAAGAAGGUCUUCGGAUUGUAAAGCACUUUCGACGGGGACGAUGAUGACGGUACCCGUAGAAGAAGCCCCGGCUAACUUCGUGCCAGCAGCCGCGGUAAUACGAAGGGGGCUAGCGUUGCUCGGAAUGACUGGGCGUAAAGGGCGUGUAGGCGGUUUACACAGUCAGAUGUGAAAUCCCCGGGCUUAACCUGGGAGCUGCAUUUGAUACGUGUAGACUAGAGUGUGAGAGAGGGUUGUGGAAUUCCCAGUGUAGAGGUGAAAUUCGUAGAUAUUGGGAAGAACACCGGUGGCGAAGGCGGCAACCUGGCUCAUGACUGACGCUGAGGCGCGAAAGCGUGGGGAGCAAACAGGAUUAGAUACCCUGGUAGUCCACGCUG
rnacentral:rRNA from 1 species